UGGGGAAUAUUGCACAAUGGGCGCAAGCCUGAUGCAGCCAUGCCGCGUGUAUGAAGAAGGCCUUCGGGUUGUAAAGUACUUUCAGUCGGGAGGAAGGUGGUAAGGUUAAUAACCUUGGCAAUUGACGUUACCGACAGAAGAAGCACCGGCUAACUCCGUGCCAGCAGCCGCGGUAAUACGGAGGGUGCAAGCGUUAAUCGGAAUUACUGGGCGUAAAGCGCACGCAGGCGGUUGAUUGAGUCAGAUGUGAAAUCCCCGGGCUUAACCCGGGAAUUGCAUCUGAUACUGGUCAGCUAGAGUCUUGUAGAGGGGGGUAGAAUUCCAUGUGUAGCGGUGAAAUGCGUAGAGAUGUGGAGGAAUACCGGUGGCGAAGGCGGCCCCCUGGACAAAGACUGACGCUCAGGUGCGAAAGCGUGGGGAGCAAACAGGA
rnacentral:rRNA from 1 species